GACAGAGGAUGCAAGCGUUAUCCGGAAUGAUUGGGCGUAAAGCGUCUGUAGGUGGCUUUUUAAGUCCGCCGUCAAAUCCCCAGGGGCUCAACCCUGGACAGGCGGUGGAAACUACCAAAGCUGGAGUACGGUAGGGGCAGAGGGAAUUUCCGGUGGAGCGGUGAAAUGCGUAGAGAUCGGAAAGAACACCAACGGGCGAAAGCACUCUGCUGGGCCGACACUGACACUGAGAGACGAAAAGCUGGGGGAGCGAAUGGGG
rnacentral:rRNA from 1 species